rnacentral:rRNA from 1 species
CCUACGGGUGGCCGCAGUGAGGAAUAUUGGUCAAUGGCCGUAAGGCUGAACCCGCCAAGUCGCGUGAAGGAAGAAGGAUCUAUGGUUUGUAAACUUCAUUUGUAGGGGAAUAAAGGUAUCCACGUGUGGAAAUUUGCAUGUACCUUAUGAAUGAGCAUCGGCUAACGCCGUGCCAGCAGCCGCGGUAAUACGGAGGAUGCGAGCGUUAUCCGGAUUUAUUGGGGUUAAAGGGUGCGUAGGUUGUUUUUGAAGUCAGCGGUGAAAGUUUGUGGCUCAACCAUAGAAUUGCCGUUGAAACUGGAAGACUUGAGUUUGUUUGAGGUAGGCGGAAUGCGUGGUGUAGCGGUGAAAUGCAUAGAUAUCACGCAGAACUCCGAUUGCGAAGGCAGCUUACUAAGCCAUAACUGACACUGAAGCACGAAAGCGUGGGGAUCAAACAGGAUUAGACACACCUGUAGUC